rnacentral:tRNA from 1 species
AGCCCCGAGGUGAUGUACCACAUUGAAUUGCAAAUUCAAAGAAGCAGCUUCAACUCUGCCGGGGCUU